rnacentral:rRNA from 1 species
CCGGACUCUUGCAAAAGACGAAUAAGAGGUCCCGCCUGCCCUGUGACUAUAUGUUUAACGGCCGCGGUAUUUUGACCGUGCGAAGGUAGCGCAAUCACUUGUCUCUUAAAUGGAGACCUGUAUGAAAGGCAUCACGAGGGCUUAGCUGUCUCCCCUUUAAAGUCAAUGAAAUUGAUCUCCCCGUGCAGAAGCGGGGAUAUACUCGUAAGACGAGAAGACCCUAUGGAGCUUAAGAUAUAAAGCGACCCAUGUCAAGCAUCCCUUCAAAGGAAGUGAACAAGAUGAAUCUCGCCGAAAUAUCUUCGGUUGGGGCGACCGCGGGGAAAGACAAAACCCCCACAUGGACUAGGGCCACUAUAGCCCUAAAACCUAGACCCACAGGUCAAAUCAACAGUAUUUCUGACCACCAAAGAGCCGGCAAUGCCGAUCAACGGACCGAGUUACCCUAGGGAUAACAGCGCAAUCCCCUCCCAGAGCCCUUAUCGACGAGGGGGUUUACGACCUCGAUGUUGGAUCAGGACAUCCUAAUGGUGCAGCCGCUAUUAAGGGUUCGUUUGUUCAACGAUUAAAGUCCU